AAAGAUUAAGCCAUGCAUGUCUAAGUAUAAGCAAUUAUACGGCGAAACUGCGAAUGGCUCAUUAUAUAAGUUAUCGUUUAUUUGAUAGUACCUUACUACUUGGAUAACCGUGGUAAUUCUAGAGCUAAUACAUGCUAAAAAUCCCGACUUCGGAAGGGAUGUAUUUAUUAGAUUAAAAACCAAUGCCCUUCGGGGCUCUCUGGUGAUUCAUGAUAACUUCUCGAAUCGCAUGGCCUUGCGCCGGCGAUGGUUCAUUCAAAUUUCUUCCCUAUCAACUUUCGAUGUUUGGGUAUUGGCCAAACAUGGUUG
rnacentral:rRNA from 1 species